ACGGUUUAGGGUUGCCGUAGCGAAAGAGAGUCUUAAAUGUGCGUUGAGUUGCAAGGUAUAGACCCGAAACCCGGUGAUCUAGCCAUGGGCAGGUUGAAGGUUGAGUAACAUCAACUGGAGGACCGAACCCACUAACGUUGAAAAGUUAGGGGAUGACCUGUGGCUUGGAGUGAAAGGCUAAUCAAACCGGGAGAUAGCUGGUUCUCCCCGAAAUCUAUUUAGGUAGAGCCUCGGACGAAUACUUACGGGGGUAGAGCACUGUUAAGGCUAGGGGGUCAUCCCGACUUACCAACCCUUUGCAAACUCCGAAUACCGUAAAGUACUAUCCGGGAGCCACACGGUGGGUGCUAACGUCCAUCGUGGAGAGGGCACCAACCCAGACCGUCAGCGAACUUCACAAAGUCUAUGUUUAGUCGGCACCGAUGAGG
rnacentral:rRNA from 1 species